CCACAGCUUGCGAUCUCACCCUCAGCCGAAGUCGCGGCCGCCGAUUCUCUCCAAGUCGUGCCCUAACCAAACCAGCAAGUAGAUUCCCUUCGGCAGUUCUGGUGAAUUGAUGAUUGGGCUCUUGUUCGGAGGAUUGUGAUGCAGUUUUGUGUUGCUGGUUUUUCUGUGUUUACAGAUUUCGGACAGAAUUUGUUAGGACGUUGAUUGAAGACGGUUGAUACAAUCUACGUAUAAAGG